rnacentral:rRNA from 1 species
AACGAACGCUGGCGGCGUGGAUCAGGCAUGCAAGUCGAACGAGAAAGCACCUUCGGGUGUGAGUAAAGUGGCAAAAGGGGUAGUAACGAAUAGGUAACGUACCCAUCAAUCUAGAAUAACUGUUGGAAACGACAGCUAAUGCUGGAUACGUCGGAGAGGGCACAGUCUUCUCCGGGAAAGUGGGGAUCUUCGGACCUUACGUUGAUGGAGCGGCCUAUUUAUCAUUAGAUAGUUGGAGAGGUAACGGCUCACCAAGUCUUAGAUGAUUAGGGGACCUUAGCGGGUGACCCCCACCACCGGAACUGAGACACUGUCCGGACACCUACGGGUGGCUGCAGUCGAGAAUCUUCCGCAAUGGACGAAAGUCUGACGGAGCGACGCCGCGUGAGGGAUGAAGGCCCUAGGGUUGUAAACCUCUGCCAAGUGUUAGGAAUAAACAAGACUUAAUAAGUCUUGCGAUGACAAAAGCACUAGAGGAAGUCACGGCUAAAUACGUGCCAGCAGCCGCGGUAAUACGUAUGUGGCGAGCGUUGUUCGGAAUCACUGGGCAUAAAGAGUUCGUAGGCGGAUAUAUAAGUUGGGUGUGAAAUCCCGGGGCCUACCCCCGGAACUGCACUCAAAACUGUAUAUCUGGAGUCCUUCAGGGGUAAGUGGAAUUCCAUGUGUAGCGGUGAAAUGCGUAGAUAUAUGGGAGAACGCCAAUGGCGAAGGCAGCUUACUGGGGAGUGACUGACGCUGAGGAACGAAAGUUAGGGUAUCGAACGGGAUUAGAUACCCCGGUAGUCCUAACCGUAAACGGUGUACACUAGAUGUCGGGAAAUUCUGAUUUCUCGGUGUCGUAGCUAAUGCGUUAAGUGUACCGCCUGGGUAGUACGAUCGCAAGGUUGAAACUCAAAGGAAUUGACGGGGGCUCAUACAAGCGGUGGAGCAUGUUGCUUAAUUCGAAGCAACGCGAAGAACCUUACCUGGGCUUGAACUGUAGGGAUUAUCUCUGUGAAAGCAGAGUACGCUUUUUAGUGGAACCUAUAGAGGUGUUGCAUGGCUGUCGUCAGCUCGUGCCGUGAGGUGUUAGGUUAAGUCCUUUAACGAGCGAAACCCUUGCCAUUAUUUACCAGCGAGUCAUGUCGGGGACUAUAAUGGGACUGCCGGUGUUAAACCGGAGGAAGGUGGGGACGACGUCAAGUCAUCAUGGCCCUUAUGUCCAGGGCUGCAAACGUGCUACAAUGGCCAUUACAGAAUGUCGCAAUGCCGCGAGGCGGAGCCAAUCACCAAAGAUGGCCUCAGUUCGGAUUGUAGGCUGCAACUCGCCUGCAUGAAGCUGGAAUCGCUAGUAAUCGGGGGUCAGCUACACCCCGGUGAAUAUGUUCCUGAGCCUUGUACACACCGCCCGUCAAGCCACGAAAGUUGGGGGCACCCUAAGCCGCUGUUGCUAACCGUAAGGAAGCAGGCGUCCACGGUGAAACCAAUGAUUGGG